AAAGAAAAUAAAAAUAACCACUCAACAUAAACAAGGGGCGAGUCUGGAUAUCUCUGCCGACUCAAACAUGCAGCCUACCAACGGCGAUCAAAACCACUCUAUCAAAGAGGGCAUGGCACUUGUUCCAGCACCCGAUGCUCCGCUUUUCGCGGAGGUCGACAUGGGAGCAGACUCCUCCGCACUUACCGUCCGAGCCACCGUCGUCCAGGCCUCCACCGUCUUCUAUGACACUCCCGCCACUCUUGAUAAGGCAGAGAGAUUAUUGGCGGAAGCAGCUGCUUAUGGAUCCCAACUUGUUGUGUUUCCUGAAGCUUUUAUUGGUGGUUACCCUCGUGGAUCCAAUUUUGGUGCUGCCGUUGGAAAUAGAACUCCCAAAGGCAGAGAGGAGUUCCGCAAAUAUCAUGCUUCAGCCAUUAAUGUCCCAGGUCCUGAAGUGGAUCGCUUGGCAGCUAUGGCUGGAAAAUAUAAACUAUAUUUAGUAAUGGGUGUGAUAGAGAGAGAUGGAUAUACUCUUUAUUGCACUAUUUUGUUUUUUGAUUCUCAAGGUCAUUACCUGGGAAAGCACCGAAAACUCAUGCCAACUGCCACAGAGCGUAUAGUUUGGGGAUUUGGGGAUGGAUCAACAAUUCCUGUUAUUGACACCCCAAUUGGAAAAAUUGGUGGUGCUAUUUGUUGGGAAAAUAGAAUGCCACUUCUAAGGACAGCUAUGUAUGGUAAAGGUGUUGAGAUAUAUUGUGCACCAACUGCUGAUGCCAGAGGCACUUGGCAAGCAACAAUGAAGCACAUUGCUCUUGAGGGUGGGUGUUUCGUGCUAUCUGCCAAUCAGUUCUGCCGAAGGAAAGAUUACCCAUCUCCUCCAGAGUACAUAUUUUCUGGAAUAGAAGAAGAACUCACACCAGAUUCUGUUGUCUGUGCUGGAGGCAGUGUUAUCAUCUCACCCUUGGGGACUGUUUUAGCAGGACCCAAUUAUGAUGGGGAGGCAUUGAUCUCAGCAGACCUAGAUCUUGGAGAAAUAGCUUGUGCAAAGUUCGACUUUGAUGUGGUUGGGCAUUAUUCAAGGUCUGAAGUUCUAAGCUUGACUGUAAGGGACGAUCCAACAAAUGCAGUUACCUUCACAUCAGCAGCUGCAAAAACUGAAGGCUCUAAUAGAUAGUUGCCUUAUCAGCCAGCAAUUUUUCACAAAAUGAAGUGGCAACUUCACUAAUAAUUGAAUGGGCAACACCAUCUUCGUUAAGAGUGAUUAAAGAUAUGGCUGCUGUUGUAUCUGUUUUUAUUGACAAGUGUCUCCUUGAAUGUGAAAUGUCUUGACUUCUUCUGGUUAUUGGAUGUAGAUGUGAUAAUUCAGCUUCUAGCAAUAAAUAAUGGCUGCCGCAGGAUUCCAAUCUUGCACAAAGCCUUGUUCCUCCAUCCCCUAAUGAACCACGCACAAACAGGCCAAUCUAUAUUUGUCUUAAAAUGAAUAUCAUUCUUCAGAUUAGUGAAGAGCCAAUCCUGGAACAUCAUUCUUGAGAUCUUAAUUAAAUUGUAGUAGUCUAUUUCUUUUUUAUUAUAUUAAAAUUUUGGCUGAAAUCUCUAUUAAAUUCAUACCAACACAAGUUCAUAACAACAAGAUUCCUAAAUAAAGUGCUUUUUGGCGUGUAAGAUCCAUACACCUUUGUAUAUGGUUCUGUUUACAAAUGAAUUAGCUACUGGAACAUUGCUGAGGAAAGGAAAUGCGGGCACUGUGUUUCUGCAAACAAAAUAGGUAAAGAGCACUAUAAUAAUGUCUUGAACUUGUUAAAAGUCAUGCGUUCUCCUCUUUUUUCACUACCCUGGACUUCAAAGAAUCCCCUUACAACAGUGGAGAACUAUCUGAAACUGCACUCCUAACAUCCACUGCCUUGUUGGACUAGCAAAGUUCUGUAUAGGUUGCCUUUAAGAACCGAACACAAUGGGGCCUCUAAGGCCCUUCACCGAUCUAUAUCGCAUGAUUUCAUCUUCAUGAUCCCGAGUUUGAGAAUGGGAAUCAAGUUCAAAUAAUAAUCAUUCCCUAUCAAACAUAACUGAUUUUUCCUGAUUUUUACUAAUGAAAUCUAAAUUAGUGCCAUCAGUGCUAUUGGAAUGUCUUCUUCGUAAAUAGAUGCUUGCCCAUUGAAUAUUUUCAGGGAUACUUUCUCCCCUAAAAAUCUCUAUCUGCUGAGACUCAUUUCAGACUAUCUAAAGCAUUACGAUCACAAGCAUAACUCCAACUGUUGCUUUUACUGUUGUUGUCCAUGUUUAAUUCAAUAUGUUAAAGAUCGCUAUUAUGGGAAGAAUCAUGUAAAAAGUGAAAUAUAGCUAAAUAGUUACAUAAAAUAUUUUUCAGGUGAUUUGCAAAACAAACAUAUGCUAAUAAAGUAAAUAAUUAUGCAAGUGACAUUACAUUACAUAUCCAUGGAAGAAAGGAAACAAAGACAGCUGAUGUGAUUUAAGAAAUUGCAGAUUGCAAAUAAAAAAGAGAGUAAUUAACCUAAUUUAAUUAAAGUAGUCCUCAGUCCUUCCCUUGAACCCAAUUUGGCCAAAAGUCAGACACAGGAAUAGGCCCAAGUGCCAUGUGAUCAACCACAGCCUGCUCAAAUCAAUAGCUUUUUAUGUCAGUAUAAUAUAUUGGUGUUUUCCCUCAACAAUGGUUCCAUGGUCUAGUGGUUAGGACAUUGGACUCUGAAUCCAGUAACCCGAGUUCAAAUCUCGGUGGAACCUUUUCUUUAUUUUAUUUAUUUGUUUAUUUUGGUAGCAAAGGAGAGAAACAAAACACAAUAAAUUAGCUACACUCUACAAAGCCUUGCCACCACACAAAGGUCAUCCUACAUCAGCGUCUGGAGCUCUCUACAAAGAUCAUACAUAUCAUGAGUGCCUAAGGCUUGCAUAGAUUAUAUACACAUCUCCAAUAUAGAAUUUGAAUCAAUGAUUAGACUACAAUUGUAUUCCAAGUCCAACUGAUGGCUGGACUAGCUAAUUGAGCUAACAUGGUGUCCAAUAUGGAAUUGGGAGUCAAUAUUAUGUGGACAUUUGAGAAGUAUUUCUACAUAAUUUAAGAACAAUUUAAGAAAGAGCAAUGCAUAAGGCAACACUUAGAAGACUGAUGAUUGUUAACGAAAGCGAAGCAACACUAAAUUGAAAUCAGAAACAAGUUUAUCCUGGAUGUAAGGCCAUUGAUAAUAAUAAAAUUGAACUCAAUAAAUCAAAUUUCAAAAGUCUGUAAAAUAAUGCAAGUUCAAUUGCUCAAUCACCAAGAUUUGGGGAUCUUAACUGCUGCAAGUCCCUUAGAAUCAUGUGUAGGACUUUAUAGGUUGGAUUUGCUAACAUUUCUCUGCUUCAAAGUUAUUGCUAUUAAGGAGUAAGAUCAAGCUUCUGAAUCUAGCUCUUUACCAAAAAAA
rnacentral:tRNA from 1 species